ensembl:ncRNA C47E8.15 ncRNA
CGAGAACUGCGACCAAUCAACGACUCGCUCCGCCCACGUUUGAACUAAUCAGAUAAAGUUUGUAACGUUCGAAGAUUCUGGUUGGUUCGAAAGCGGGCGUGGCUUCUCGUUUUGGAGGGAAUUAAAAACCAAAAUUGUCAAAUCACACUA